rnacentral:rRNA from 1 species
UAGGGAAUCUUCCGCAAUGGACGCAAGUCUGACGGAGCAACGCCGCGUGAGUGAAGAAGGUUUUCGGAUCGUAAAACUCUGUUGUUAGAGAAGAACAAGUGCUAGAGUAACUGUUAGCGCCUUGACGGUAUCUAACCAGAAAGCCACGGCUAACUACGUGCCAGCAGCCGCGGUAAUACGUAGGUGGCAAGCGUUGUCCGGAUUUAUUGGGCGUAAAGCGAGCGCAGGCAGUUCCUUAAGUCUGAUGUGAAAGCCCCCGGCUCAACCGGGGAGGGUCAUUGGAAACUGGGGAACUUGAGUGCAGAAGAGGAGAGUGGAAUUCCAUGUGUAGCGGUGAAAUGCGUAGAUAUAUGGAGGAACACCAGUGGCGAAGGCGACUCUCUGGUCUGUAACUGACGCUGAGGCUCGAAAGCGUGGGUAGCAAACAGGAUUAGAUACCCUGGUAGUCCACGCCGUAAACGAUGAGUGCUAAGUGUUGGAGGGUUUCCGCCCUUCAGUGCUGCAGUUAACGCAUUAAGCACUCCGCCUGGGGAGUACGACCGCAAGGUUG